AUUGAACGCUGGCGGCAGGCCUAACACAUGCAAGUCGAACGAGUGGCGGACGGGUGAGUAAUGUCUGGGAAACUGCCCGAUGGAGGGGGAUAACUACUGGAAACGGUAGCUAAUACCGCAUACCAUCGGAUUUGCCCAGGUGGGAUUAGAUAGUAGGUGGGGUAACGGCUAACCUAGGCGACGAUCCCUAGCUGGUAUGAGAGGAUGACCAGCCACACUGAAACUGAGACACGUUCCAGACUCCUACGGGAAGCGACAGUGAGGAAUAGUGCACAAUGGGCGCAAGCCUGUGGCAGCCAGGCCGCGUGUAUGUAGAAGGCCUUCGGGUUGUAAAGUACUUUCAGCGAGGAGGCGUUACUCGCAGAAGAAGCACCGGCUAACUCCGUGCCAGCAGCCGCGGUAAUAC
rnacentral:rRNA from 1 species